UGACGCAGCAACGCCGCGUGAGUGAUGAAGGCUUUCGGGUCGUAAAGCUCUGUCAAUAGGGGCGAAAUGUAUAGAGGUUAACACCCUUUAUACUUGACGGUACCUUUGAAGGAAGCACCGGCUAACUCCGUGCCAGCAGCCGCGGUAAUACGGAGGGUGCGAGCGUUGUUCGGAAUUAUUGGGCGUAAAGCGCGUGCAGGCGGUUUGGUAAGUCUGAUGUGAAAGCCCCGGGCUCAACCUGGGAAGUGCAUUGGAAACUGUCGGACUUGAAUACGGUAGAGGGUAGCGGAAUUCCUGGUGUAGGAGUGAAAUCCGUAGAUAUCAGGAGGAACACCGGUGGCGAAGGCGGCUACCUGGACCGAUAUUGACGCUGAGAUGCGAAAGCGUGGGUAGCAAACAGGAUUAGAUACCCUGGUAGUCCACGCUGUAAACGAUGAGUACUAGGUGUUGCGGGUAUUGACCCCUGCAGUGCCGCUAACGCAUUAAGUACUC
rnacentral:rRNA from 1 species